AGCGAACGUUUGCGGCGGGCCUAACACAUGCAAGUCGAACGCACUAGCAAUAGUGAGUGGCGCACGGGUGCGUAACACGUGGGUAAUCAACCCUUCAGCUUGGGAUAACGACUUGAAAGGGUCGCUAAUACCGGAUACGGCGCGGGAGGCUUCGGCUUCUCACGAGAAAGCCUCGCAAGGGGCACUGAAGGACGAGCCUGCGGCCCAUCAGCUAGUUGGUGAGGUAAGAGCUCACCAAGGCGAAGACGGGUAGCUGGUCUGAGAGGAUGAUCAGCCACACUGGAACUGAGACACGGUCCAGACUCCUACGGGAGGCAGCAGUGGGGAAUAUUGCGCAAUGGGCGAAAGCCUGACGCAGCCACGCCGCGUGAGCGAUGAAGGCCUCGGGUCGUAAAGCUCUGUGGGGAGAGACGAAGAAAGCCCGUGAAGAGCGGGCCGUUGACGGUAUCUCCUUAGCAAGCACCGGCUAACUCCGUGCCAGCAGCCGCGGUAA
rnacentral:rRNA from 1 species